AUGAACGCUAGCUACAGGCUUAACACAUGCAAGUCGAGGGGCAGCAUUUCAGUUUGCUUGCAAACUGGAGAUGGCGACCGGCGCACGGGUGAGUAACACGUAUCCAACCUGCCGAUAACUCGGGGAUAGCCUUUCGAAAGAAAGAUUAAUACCCGAUGGUAUAAUUAGACCGCAUGGUCUUGUUAUUAAAGAAUUUCGGUUAUCGAUGGGGAUGCGUUCCAUUAGGCAGUUGGUGAGGUAACGGCUCACCAAACCUUCGAUGGAUAGGGGUUCUGAGAGGAAGGUCCCCCACAUUGGAACUGAGACACGGUCCAAACUCCUACGGGAGGCAGCAGUGAGGAAUAUUGGUCAAUGGGCGCAGGCCUGAACCAGCCAAGUAGCGUGAAGGAUGACUGCCCUAUGGGUUGUAAACUUCUUUUAUAUGGGAAUAAAGUUUUCCACGUGUGGAAUUUUGUAUGUACCAUAUGAAUAAGGAUCGGCUAACUCCGUGCCAGCAGCCGCGGUAAUACGGAGGAUCCGAGCGUUAUCCGGAUUUAUUGGGUUUAAAGGGAGCGUAGGUGGACAGUUAAGUCAGUUGUGAAAGUUUGCGGCUCAACCGUAAAAUUGCAGUUGAUACUGGCUGUCUUGAGUACAGUAGAGGUGGGCGGAAUUCGUGGUGUAGCGGUGAAAUGCUUAGAUAUCACGAAGAACUCCGAUUGCGAAGGCAGCUCACUGGACUGCAACUGACACUGAUGCUCGAAAGUGUGGGUAUCAAACAGGAUUAGAUACCCUGGUAGUCCACACAGUAAACGAUGAAUACUCGCUGUUUGCGAUAUACAGUAAGCGGCCAAGCGAAAGCAUUAAGUAUUCCACCUGGGGAGUACGUUCGCAAGAAUGAAACUCAAAGGAAUUGACGGGGACCCGCACAAGCGGUGGAGCAUGUGGUUUAAUUCGAAGCAACGCGAAGAACCUUACCAGGUCUUGACAUCCCGAUGACCGGCCCGUAACGGGGCCUUCUCUUCGGAGCAUUGGAGACAGGUGGUGCAUGGUUGUCGUCAGCUCGUGUCGUGAGAUGUUGGGUUAAGUCCCGCAACGAGCGCAACCCUUAUCUUUAGUUACUAACAGGUCAUGCUGAGGACUCUAGAGAGACUGCCGUCGUAAGAUGUGAGGAAGGUGGGGAUGACGUCAAAUCAGCACGGCCCUUACGUCCGGGGCUACACACGUGUUACAAUGGGGGGUACAGAAGGCAGCUACCUGGUGACAGGAUGCUAAUCCCAAAAGCCUCUCUCAGUUCGGAUCGAAGUCUGCAACCCGACUUCGUGAAGCUGGAUUCGCUAGUAAUCGCGCAUCAGCCAUGGCGCGGUGAAUACGUUCCCGGGCCUUGUACACACCGCCCGUCAAGCCAUGAAAGCCGGGGGUACCUGAAGUACGUAACCGCAAGGAGCGUCCUAGGGUAAAACUGGUAAUUGGGGCU
rnacentral:rRNA from 1 species